rnacentral:lncRNA from 1 species
AAAAAGUUAACUAGUUACCGUUAUGACGUUACUCCACGAUUUUUGUAACUAGUUAAAAAGUUACUUUCACUUUUUGGAACUUGUUUAAAGUUACAUCUGCAGGUUUUAAUAAUUAUAUUGACAGCGAGUUCGAUUAAAUUACCGCUGUAACGAAUAGUAUAACCCAACUGCAAGCCGCGGCAAAUAGGCAGAGGAGUUCUUGUACAGUGAAUCAGUUUAUCGACCACAUUAACAUAAUAAAAGUUGAUGGUAUAAACAAAAUAGCAAGUCCUAUAUUUUCACGUGAAAAUGUAACGAAAAAGGUAAAGUAAACGUUGGUCAGAAAAGUAACGCGUUAUCGUUCCAUUUUAAGCCAAAAUGUAAUUAACUAUAGCUACAGUUACAGUUAUUUAAAAAAGUAACGAUUACUUGUAAUUUCGCUACUUGUAACGAUGUUACUUCAUAGAAAUCUAUUACUUCUAUGCGUUACAUGCAGCACUGGCUUAGAACCGGCAACAAAAAUAGAGGCAAGUUACUUGGCUAGCAGAGUUACUCGCCUCGGCUUGUCGAGCUUUUUUAUUACUCUUACAAGAAAAUUGACGCAUCCUUAUUUUUCAUGUAUACCACACGCCCCAUUAUAGGGCUCGCAAAACUCGACAAACACAUCCGGAGGAAACCCUAACACUAAUAUCUGCUGUCCAAGCUUGGACGCAUACUAUCCAUAUUUUACCUUGGAGAAUAUAAACGUUUUUAGCAUGUUUCUUCUCGAAUAAGUAUGUCUCUUCUAAUUUAUCGGAAGAAAUUUAUUAAACUACCUUCCUCCUUCGAAUCCUCGAAUUUCACGCGCUAUCGCUUCGGCUUAAACAAUUAGCCUUCUUCCUAGCAAGCAUACCAAUAUACCAAUUGCUUGAUUGCAUGUACGAUACAUCAUUUCACCAGCUAACCAAGCUUUUUGGUUGUUACUUUCAAUGCUGUUCAAUGAUAGUAUUCUUAUGCGAUCAAUUUAUACCGAAAUAACUUCUAUUUUAGCACUUUAUUGCAUGCACGGUAGUGUAUCUCGGAGAGUUUGGGCAAAUUAAAACGACAGAAUGCCUCGCACGGAACUCCGAGUCCUGCUCGCAAGCAUGAUGAACAUUGCCUACUUUCAAAUCGAGAGAGCCUGGGUACGAGUCCAUAAAUCUUGUGAAAAUCAACACAACAUGCACCCACAUAAUAAGAAAGAGCACAUUGACCUUUACAAAAUCUCAGAGU